GCUGGGUGUGGUGGUGCAUGCCUGUAAUCCCAGCUACUUGGGAGGCUGAGUCAGGAGAAUCGCUUGAACCCAGGAGGCAGAGGUUGCAGUGAGCUGAGAUUGCACCACUGCAUUCCAGCCUGGGUGACAGAGCAAGACUCUGUCUCAA
rnacentral:SRP_RNA from 1 species